GUGUCAGCAGCCGCGGUAAUACGAAGGUCCCAAGCGUUGUUCGGAUUUACUGGGCGUAAAGAGUCUGUAGGCGGCGGGGUAAGUCAGAUGUGAAAUCCCGGGGCUCAACCCCGGAACUGCAUCCGAUACUGCCUUGCUAGAGUAUUGGAGGGGAGCCUGGAAUUCUCGGUGUAGCAGUGAAAUGCGUAGAUAUCGAGAGGAACACUAGUGGCGAAGGCGAGGCUCUGGACAAUUACUGACGCUGAGAGACGAAGGCCAGGGGAGCGAAAAGGAUUAGAUACCCUUGUAGUCC
rnacentral:rRNA from 1 species